rnacentral:tRNA from 1 species
GCCUUCGUAGUGUAGCGGUCAGCACGCUCGACGCGUAACCGAGAGGUCCGUGGUUCGAUUCCCGGCGAAGGCG